ensembl:lncRNA
AAAGGAGGGGGCUUCAGCAGUGACAGAGCACUAUGGAGCUGGCAAUUAAAUGUUUUCCAAUCCAGGAACAAACCCAUGUAUUGACUGGAGAUGAGGAGACUGAGGUUCACAGAGGGGCAAUGACAUGCUUAAAUUUGCUCAGCAAGUCCGUGCUAAGUCAAGCAUUACUUCCAGGUGUCCUGAUUUAAGUCCACAAGAGUAAGCGUUGGGGCGCUAGUGAGAGGCAGCCUGGUGGAGAGCAAGGCCACAGACACCGAGUUUAUGUGCCCAUCCUGGCUCUGAACAGCUGCGCGACUGUGGGAAGGUAACUCAGCAUCUCUGAAACUCAGUGUCCUCGGCUUGGAAACGGGCAUCCUGGGAGCAAAACUGCAUGGUUACCAGGAUGAAAGGGGCGUAGACCAAAAGCCCGUGGCAGUGCUGAGGAUGUGGGUGAGUGAGUGAGGCUGGAGCUGAGGGCCAGGGACGCGAAGGAAGAAGGCUACAUCUGCAGAAGUCCCACUCUGUGGGCAGGGAGCCAAGCUUCAAGGCGAAGACUAAGAACUCAUGGGAAAGGUUCCCUUCCUGCCUCAGGGAUCUUGCAAACGCUGGUCCUUCUGCCCAGAACACUCUUUCUUUCCCUCUUGACUCAGUUUUUUCUCUUCUUCCUUCAGGUCUCAAGUCCCACCUCCUCUGGGAAGCCCUCCUUAACUUCCCCAAUCAGAUCAAAUCCCUUAAAUGUGGACUUACCCAGUGUUUCCCAUUUCCUCAUAGCAAACGGAUUUUAUAAUGCAAUAACGUUAAGUCAUAACUUUACCUUUGCGAGUCUUUGGUUAACGUCUGGCUCUGCUCCUGGACUGCAGGUUGGGGGAGGCCUGGGACCGUCCCUGGGGGUCGGGGAGGCGCUCCACCCUCUGCGAUGGAACCAGCGCCAGCUGAGCGUACUUGGAAAAAAGGCAGCGCACGAGACUUGGAGUCUGAUGGAUGAGGUUAAAUGAAACACGUGGGUUGCUUUAAAGGACGACGUACGGAAUACAGCACAGUUCGGAGGGCACGCGGGCGAGCAGAAACCGGAGCCGGCCGGGCGGGCGGCCGGGUGCGGGGCCGCGGAAGAGCACGAGGGGGCGCUCGGACCACGCCUGUCGCAGGGGGAAUGGAAAGCUAAAAUCAAAUCAUAUUCGAUCUGUCGUGGGACCCUGGUCAGCGCUCCAUCGUCAGAGCACACCCGGCCACCACUGCUUUUUCCGCCCCGCCGGGACCGCUCUAUCCUGGCCAGCAGUGUCUCACCCGUGCUGCUGGGCAGCAUCCUCACUGUGCUCCCUACUUCUACCUUCCAAGCAUGCCCUCGACGGAGCAGUCAGGGGAACUAUUUAAGAAUGAGCCAGAUCUCGGCACAGCUCUGCUCAACACGCAGCAGUGGCCCCAAUAUCCAGCCAAAGCCCCUCCAAACUUCUGCCACCUACUAAGUUC